AUGUCCUCCUCCGUCUCCGUCGCGGCGGAGUGGGACCUCCUCUCCGACCGUUUCUACCGCCGCAUCACCAUCUACUCCCCCCUCCCCUGGUCCUCCCCGGCCACCACCACCGCCUCCUCCUCCGGCGGCGGCAGCUCCGGGGUCGGCCGCCUCGACCUCUCGACCCACAUCGUCGCCGCCGCCCCCUUCGGCGGCCCGAUUGCCGCCGUCCGCGACGACUCAAAGAUCGUGCAGCUCCACUCCGAGCCCUCGCGCCGUCGCCUCCUCCUCUUCUCCUCAUCCGGCCACCCACUCGCCUCCUCCCCUUGGACGCCCCACCUCCCCCGCCUCCACUCGCUCGCCUUCUCCAGCUCCCUCAACCUCCUCGCCCUCCUCUCCGAUGGUUCCCUCCUCCGUUUCCGCCUCCCCGAUCUGAAUCCCAUUACUAGCUCCAGCCCCGUGCCCCUGCUGCCGCCUGCCUCAGGCGGCGUCGCGGACGCUGUUUUCUGGGGAGGCGGCGUGGCUAUCCUCACCGAGGACAACCGCGUCGUCGUCACCACCGACAUCGAGGUCGACGACCCGCACCCGCGGGAGCUCGCCGACCCGGGCGUUGCCGAGGACGAGCAAGUGCUGUGUAUGGCCGUGGUGGAGCCACAGUUCGUCAUGUCCGGCAGUCCAGAGGUUCUGCUUGCAGUUGGCGAUCGGGUAGUGGCAGUUGACGAGGAUGGCGUGCAGGUGCUCGGAGAGGCCCUGGAGAUUGGACCCGUGCAGAAAAUGGCGGUGUCACCAAACGGAAAGCUGCUUGCAGCGUUUGCACAUGAUGGGCGCUUGCUCGUAAUCCCCACGGAUUUUUCCAGGAUCAUAUUCGAGUACGAGUGUGAUUCUGCAUUACCACCGGAUCAAAUUGCUUGGUGUGGGUUGGACAGUGUGCUCCUUUACUGGUCUGAAGUGCUUUUGAUGGUUGGACCCAAUGGAGAUCCAGUGCAGUACAAUUAUGAUGAACCUGUAAUGCUCAUUCCAGAGUGUGAUGGUGUAAGAAUCCUCACAAAUUCAAGUAUGGAAUUUCUACACCGAGUUCCAGAUUCUACUACAUUAAUUUUUGGCAUUGGAAGCAUGUCUCCAGCAGCAUUACUGUAUGAUGCUAGAGAUCACUACGACAAACAAAGUGCCAAGGCUUAUGAUAACUAUCAGCUAAUAUCAUCUUCCUUGCCCGAGGCGAUUGAAGCAUGUAUUGAUGCUGCUGGAUAUGAAUUCGAUGUUUCACGCCAACAUACAUUACUGAGAGCUGCGACUUAUGGUCUAGCUUUCUGCAGUCGAUUUCCACACGGACGCUUUCAAGAAAUGUGCAAAAUUUUACGCGUUCUAAAUGCUGUUCGUGACCCUGAGAUUGGAAUGCCGCUUACCGUGAAGCAGUACAAACUGCUUACUGCAACUGUGCUCAUUGGACGUCUAAUUAAUGCUAAUCAGCAUCUUUUGGCACUUCGCAUCUCUGAGUACCUUAACCUAAAUCCGGAGGUUGUGAUUAUGCAUUGGGCAUGUGAGAAGAUAACAGCCUCAGCUGCAAUUCCAGAUGUAGUUCUUCUUGAAGGUUUGCUUGACAAGCUCAGGUUAUGCAAAGGCAUAUCGUAUGCUGCAGUGGCAGCUCAUGCAGAUAACAGUGGCCGGCGAAAGUUGGCUGCCAUGCUCGUUGACCAUGAGUCCCAGUCUUCGAAGCAGAUUCCUUUGUUGCUAAGCAUCGAUGAACAAGACAAAGCAUUACAGAAGUCAAUUGAGAGCGGUGAUACUGAUCUUGUGUACCUUGUGCUUUUCCAUAUCUGGCAGAAGAUAUCUGUAGAAAAGAGUGCUCCUUUGGAUUUUUUUGGUGUAAUCAACGCAAGGCCUUUGGCUAGAGAUUUGUUCAUAGCAUAUGCAAGACACUCUAAGCAUGAAGCUUUGAAGGACUUCUUUCUAUCAACAGGGAGACUCCAAGAUGCUGGCUUCCUUUUGUUGAAGGAGUCGAGAGAAUUAGAGAGGAAUCCAAUGGCAAGCAAGGGGUCUCCUCUCCAUGGUCCACAAGUGAGGCUCGUUGAGCAGGCCCACAGGCUUUUUGCUGAGACCAAAGAACAUCUUUUUGAAUCCAAAUCUGCUGAAGAGCAUGCCAAAUUGCUAAGGGUGCAGCAUCAACUAGAAGUUUCCACGAAGCAAGCAAUAUUUGUUGGUUCUAGUGUCAGUGAUACAAUAAAAACUUGUAUUGUAAUGGGAAAUGAGCGAGCUGCAGUCAAAGUGAAAUCAGAGUUCAAGGUUCCUGAUAAAAGGUGGUACUGGUUGAAGUCGUGUGCUUUAGCAACAGUUGGUAAUUGGGAUGCUUUGGAAACAUUCUCGAGAGAGAAGAGACCACCAGGAGGCUAUAAACCAUUUGUGGAAGCAUGCAUUGAUGCCGGUCAAAAAACUGAAGCUCUCAAAUAUAUUCCAAAAUUAACAGAUCCUGGUGAAAGAUCUGAGGCAUAUGCGCGUCUCAAUAUGACUGAGGAAGCUAAAAAGGCAGCAUCAGAGGCUAACAAUGGCGACGAGCUAUUUGGUCGCCUAAAGAGUACUCUGGCGCAGAAUACUCUUAUCGACACACUACGGGAUCGACUAUCGUUCCAAGGAACGUACUGA
rnacentral:rRNA from 1 species